rnacentral:rRNA from 1 species
CUAACCCCAUGCAAGUCGAAGGGGCCACAUUUUGAGUUGCAAUCCCGAAUGAUGGCGCCCGGCGGAUGGGUGAUUAACACGUAUCCACCUUCCUUUAACACGGCCAUUACUCGAAGAAAUUUGUGCUAAUUCCCGAUAAAACAGGGGCGCCGCAUGGCGAUUUUUGUUAAAGAUUAAUCGGUUAAAAGAUGGGCAUGCGUUCCAUUAGUUUGUUGGCGGGGUAACGGCCCACCAAGACUUCGAUGGAUAGGGGUUUUGAGAGGAAGGUCCCCCACAUUGGAACUGAGACACGGUCCAAACUCCUACGGGAGGCAGCAGUGAGGAAUAUUGGUCAAUGGACGGGAGUCUGAACCAGCCAAGUAGCGUGAAGGAUGAAGGCUCUAUGGGUCGUAAACUUCUUUUAUACGGGAAUAAAGUGAACCACGUGUGGUUUUUUGUAUGUACCGUAUGAAUAAGGAUCGGCUAACUCCGUGCCAGCAGCCGCGGUAAUACGGAGGAUCCGAGCGUUAUCCGGAUUUAUUGGGUUUAAAGGGAGCGUAGGCGGGUACUUAAGUCAGUUGUGAAAGUUUACGGCUCAACCGUGAAAUUGCAGUUGAUACUGGGUGCCUUGAGUGCAGUAGAGGUAAGCGGAAUUCGUGGUGUAGCGGUGAAAUGCUUAGAUAUCACGAAGAACUCCAAUUGCGAAGGCAGCUUGCUGGACUGUAACUGACGCUGAUGCUCGAAAGUGUGGGUAUCAAACAGGAUUAGAUACCCUGGUAGUCCACACAGUAAACUAUGAAUACUCGCUGUUGGCGAUACACAGUCAGCGGCCAAGCGAAAGCGU